GCGGGCGUGGCGAAACGGUAGACGCAGCAGACUUAAAAUCUGCUUCCCCCCGGGGAGUGCGGGUUCGAGACCCGCCGCCCGCA
rfam:Roseomonas sp. M3 M3_S294_L001_R1_001_(paired)_contig_131, whole genome shotgun sequence.